CAUGGCUGCAGCUCAUAAUUACUCUAGGAGACUCGAAGGUAGCCGCAGGUCUGAGUGUUCUCUAGCCCUUGACAUUCAAAGUAGUGUGUUGAUGCCCAAUCCAUAGUUGCGUGGAAAAUUAGGACCUUGGUUUUCUCCAGAUUGACAGAAAGAGAAUCAGGGGUAUUGAGUUAUCUCACCAAUUCAUAUCUAUUUGUGCUCAGAAAUCCUUUAAAAUUAUCACCUGUCGAGGACUCUGUGCCCCUGCUUGUCUAUCUGUCAAGCUGGAGAAAACCCAGGUCCUUGUUUUCUAUGUAACUAUCGCUUGGGCACCAAAACACAACUUUGAAGCCAAAAGGAAUGCGUUCAUUCAUACCUGUGCUGGCCCGAAGUCAUCUAGAGAUCCCAUACUGCAGUAUCAAUACCAUG